AUUGAACGCUGGCGGCAUGCCUUACACAUGCAAGUCGAACGGCAGCGGGGGAGAAGCUUGCUUUUCCUGCCGGCGAGUGGCGAACGGGUGAGUAAUACAUCGGAACGUGCCCUGUAGUGGGGGAUAACUAGUCGAAAGAUUAGCUAAUACCGCAUACGACCUGAGGGUGAAAGUGGAGGACCGCAAGGCCUCAUGCUAUAGGAGCGGCCGAUGUCUGAUUAGCUAGUUGGUGGGGUAAGGGCCUACCAAGGCGACGAUCAGUAGCUGGUCUGAGAGGACGAGCGGCCACACUGGGACUGGGACACGGCCCAGACUCCUACGGGAGGCAGCAGUGGGGAAUUUUGGACAAUGGGCGAAAGCCUGAUCCAGCAAUGCCGCGUGUGUGAAGAAGGCCUUCGGGUUGUAAAGCACUUUUGUCCGGAAAGAAAUGGCUCUGGUUAAUACCUGGGGUCGAUGACGGUACCGGAAGAAUAAGGACCGGCUAACUACGUGCCAGCAGCCGCGGUAA
rnacentral:rRNA from 1 species